UACGUAGGUGGCAAGCGUUGUCCGGAUUUACUGGGCGUAAAGAGCGCGCAGGCGGUCGUUCAAGUCGCGUGUGAAAGCCCCCGGCUCAACUGGGGAGGGUCACGCGAUACUGAUCGACUCGAAGGCAGGAGGGGGUAGUGGAAUUCCCGGGUGUAGUGGUGAAAUGCGUAGAUAUCUGGAGGAAUACCGGUGGCGAAGGCGGC
rnacentral:rRNA from 1 species